rnacentral:rRNA from 1 species
CAGAGCUUGCUCUGAUGAGAGUGGCGAACGGGUGAGUAACGCGUGGGUUAUCUGCCUUCAGGAUGGGGAUAGCCACUAGAAAUAGUGGGUAAUACCGAAUAUUUUUGCCGGGGAUGCUCGGUAAAGAAAGGCGCAAUUGUGCCGCCUGAAGAUGAGCCUGCGUCCUAUUAGCUUGUUGGUGGGGUAAAGGCCUACCAAGGCGACGAUAGGUAGCCGGCCUGAGAGGGUGUCCGGCCACAUUGGGACUGAGAUACGGCCCAGACUCCUACGGGAGGCAGCAGCUAAGAAUCUUCCGCAAUGGGCGAAAGCCUGACGGAGCGACGUUGCGUGGACGACGAAGGUCGAGAGAUUGUAAAGUCCUUUUCUGUGAGAGGAAUAAAGCAGGGAGUGGAACGCCCUGCUGAUGACGUUAACACAGGAAUAAGCUCCGGCAAAUUACGUGCCAGCAGCCGCGGUAAUACGUAAGGAGCGAGCGUUGUUCGGAUUUAUUGGGCGUAAAGAGCGCGCAGGCGGUUUUGUAAGUCUGUAAUCAAAUCCCCGGGCUUAACUCGGGACAGGUUAUGGAAACUAUAAAACUAGAAUCCUUUAGGGGGAAGCUGGAAUUCCUGGUGUAGGGGUGGAAUCUGUUGAUAUCAGGAAGAACACCAAAGGCGAAGGCAGGCUUCUGGGGAGUGAUUGACGCUGAGGCGCGAAAGUGUAGGGAGCAAACAGGCUUAGAUACCCUGGUAGUCUACACCGUAAACGAUGUACACUAGGCGUUGGUCUGUUCUAGGAUCAGCGCUCAAGCU